CAGUAGGGAAUCUUCGGCAAUGGGGGCAACCCUGACCGAGCAACGCCGCGUGAGUGAAGAAGGUUUUCGGAUCGUAAAGCUCUGUUGUUAGAGAAGAACACGAGUGAGAGUAACUGUUCAUUCGAUGACGGUAUCUAACCAGCAAGUCACGGCUAACUACGUGCCCG
rnacentral:rRNA from 1 species